AUCUCAUCAAUGUUUUCAUGAGGUUCCAUCUUGAACGAUUCAUACUUGGUAAUCAGAAUAGACUUUUUUUGUUCUCUAACUUUCUCACUACCUUCAUGAAUUUCUCUCAAUUUAUUCUAAAUUUCCUUGACUGACUUGUAGCCUUUGACUCUAACAGAUUCAUUUGAAUUUAAAGCACAAUAUAACACAUUCAUGACUUUUGCAUUUAAGGUGAGAUGAGCUCUAUCCACACAGUCAGUUCACUUAUUAUUUUUGGUCUAGAUUUCUGAGUAUUUUCAUCUAUAAGAGAGGCAUAAUAUGGACCUUCACUAAUAAUAAACCACAAUUCAACAUCAAUAAAUUGUAAAAAGAAAAUCAUUCUUUCUUUCCAACUCACAUAAUUUGACCCAUUAAACAUUAGUGGUCUAAUCACAAAUUGUCCCUCAAAAAACAUAGCAUUGUUGGUUGUCAUCUUUACUCCAAAGUCGAUUGGGCUUAAUCUCUAGGAGACCAAGCUCUGAUACCAAUUGUAAGGCCCGAAAAGAACUCUCUUUUUAGGCGACCACACAAUGGAGCAGUUGAUGACAAAGCAGAAGUGCUUGUGAGUAGAAGGGAUAAACAAUUUAAAGAUCACAAACGUAACAAUAAGUAAAUAAAAAGGAAAGAAUUACAAACCAAUUAAUUACCCAACUCCUCUUGAGCUUGUAGAUUAAUUCAAACAAGUUUCUUCAAGUUGAUGAAUUACAAUCACUCUUGUGUACAAAGGAAGGUUCACCUCCUCCUUGCCCCGAACUCCACUCAGUCAAGGUAGGACGUUUUAUUAUCUCUCAGGACAACCC
rnacentral:lncRNA from 1 species